GACGAACGCUGGCGGCGUGCUUAACACAUGCAAGUCGAACGGAAAGGCCCUGCUUUUGUGGGGUGCUCGAGUGGCGAACGGGUGAGUAACACGUGAGUAACCUGCCCUUGACUUUGGGAUAACUUCAGGAAACUGGGGCUAAUACCGGAUAGGAGCUCCUGCUGCAUGGUGGGGGUUGGAAAGUUUCGGCGGUUGGGGAUGGACUCGCGGCUUAUCAGCUUGUUGGUGGGGUAGUGGCUUACCAAGGCUUUGACGGGUAGCCGGCCUGAGAGGGGGACCGGCCACAAUGGGACUGAGGUAGGGCCCAGACGGCUACGGGGGGCAACAGGGGGGAGUAUUGCACAAUGGGCGGAAGCCUGAUGCAGCAGCGCCGCGUGCGGGAUGACGGCCUUCGGGUUGUAAACCGCUUUCGCCUGUGACGAAGCGUGAGUGACGGUAAUGGGUGAAGAAGCACCGGCUAACUACGUG
rnacentral:rRNA from 1 species